rnacentral:rRNA from 1 species
CCUACGGGAGGCAGCAGUGGGGAAUAUUGCACAAUGGGCGAAAGCCUGAUGCAGCAACGCCGCGUGAGCGAUGAAGGCCUUCGGGUCGUAAAGCUCUGUCCUCAAGGAAGAUAAUUACGGUACUUGAGGAUGACGCCCCGGCUAACUACGUGCCAGCAGCCGCGGUAAUACGUAGGGGGCUAGCGUUAUCCGGAAUUACUGGGCGUAAAGGGUGCGUAGGUGGUUUCUUAAGUCAGAGGUGAAAGGCUACGGCUCAACCGUAGUAAGCCUUUGAAACUGGGGAACUGGAGUGGAGGAGAGGAGAGUGGAAUGCCUAGUGUAGCGGUGAAAUGCGUAGAUAUUAGGAAGAACACCAGUUGCGAAGGCGGCUCUCUGGACUGUAACUGACGCUGAGGCACGAAAGCGUGGGGAGCGAACAGGAUUAGAUACCCGAGUAGUC